GACGAACGCUGGCGGCGUGCUUAACACAUGCAAGUCGAGCGGUAAGGCCCUUUCGGGGUACGACGAGCGGCGAACGGGUGAGUAACACGUGGGUGACCUGCCCUCAGCUCUGGGAUAAGCCUGGGAAACCGGGUCUAAUACCGGAUAUGACUCCAUGACGCAUGUUGUGGGGUGGAAAGCCUUGUGCGGCUGAGGAUGGGCCCGCGGCCUAUCAGCUUGUUGGUGGGGUGAUGGCCUACCAAGGCGACGACGGGUAGCCGGCCUGAGAGGGCGACCGGCCACACUGGGACUGAGACACGGCCCAGACUCCUACGGGAGGCAGCAGUGGGGAAUAUUGGACAAUGGGCGCAAGCCUGAUCCAGCCAUGCCGCGUGAGUGAUGAAGGCCCUAGGGUUGUAAAGCUCUUUCGCCCAGGGACGAUAAUGACGGUACCUGGAUAAGAAGCCCCGGCUAA
rnacentral:rRNA from 1 species